UACGAAGGGGGCGAGCGUUGCUCGGAAUCACUGGGCGUAAAGGGUGCGUAGGCGGGUCUUUAAGUCAGGGGUGAAAUCCUGGAGCUCAACUCCAGAACUGCCUUUGAUACUGAAGAUCUUGAGUUCGGGAGAGGUGAGUGGAGCUGCGAGUGUAGAGGUGAAAUUCGUAGAUAUUCGCAAGAACACCAGUGGCGAAGGCGGCUCACUGGCCCGAUACUGACGCUGAGGCACGAAAGCGUGGGGAGCAAACAGG
rnacentral:rRNA from 1 species